rnacentral:rRNA from 1 species
GACGAACGCUGGCGGCGUGCCUAAUACAUGCAAGUAGAACGCUGAAGGAGGAGCUUGCUUCUCUGGAUGAGUUGCGAACGGGUGAGUAGCGCGUAGGUAACCUGCCUGGUAGCGGGGGAUAACUAUUGGAAACGAUAGCUAAUACCGCAUAAUAGCAGUUGUUGCAUGACAACUGUUUGAAAGGUGCAAUUGCACCACUACCAGAUGGACCUGCGUUGUAUUAGCUAGUUGGUGGGGUAACGGCUCACCAAGGCGACGAUACAUAGCCGACCUGAGAGGGUGGGCGGCCACACUGGGACUGGGACACGGCCCAGACUCCUACGGGAGGCAGCAGUAGGGAAUCUUCGGCAAUGGACGGAAGUCUGACCGAGCAACGCCGCGUGAGUGAAGAAGGUUUUCGGAUCGUAAAGCUCUGUUGUAAGAGAAGAACGAGUGUGAGAGUGGAAAGUUCACACUGUGACGGUAUCUUACCAGAAAGGGACGGCUAACUACGUG